AGACGUCUACAUUAGAUACCCCUGUAGUCCCAGCCGUAAACUAUGCGCGUUAGGUGUAUCGGUGACCACGAGUUACCGAGGCGCCGAAGGGAAACCGUGAAACGUGCCGCCUGGGAAGUACGGUCGCAAGGCUGAAACUUAAAGGAAUUGGCGGGGAGCACCACAACAGGUGGAGCCUGCGGUUUAAUUGGACUCAACGCCGGGAAGCUCACCGGAUAGGACAGCAGAAUGAUUGCCGGGCUGAAGACCCUGCAUGACUAGCUG
rnacentral:rRNA from 1 species